rnacentral:lncRNA from 1 species
AAUUUAUUCUCUGGUAUCUCAACUUCUCCUUCAGCUCCCCACACAGAAGAUGUCACCCCUCAAAAACGAUACAAAUAGGUGGACAUUCACAAGUUAUACUUCAAACAGUAUUUCUGUUGCUGUACGUAAUGUUCUCUUGGUUCUACUCAUUUCACUCUUCAGAACUUCAUGUGCAGUUUCACAGAAUCACAAAAUUUCACAGCUUGACGGGACCUCAGAGAACCUAUAAUCCAGUCUAUCACAGUGUGGGAAUUCCGUCUCUCACAUUUCAGCCAAGGAUUAUCAGCUUGAACACCUCCAGUGACAGGAAACUCAUUAUAUUUCAGGUAAACCAUUUCAGCUAAGUGGCCUGGUAGAAAAGGUAAAGGAAGAUCUCAUUUCAAGUCCAGCCUCAGAUUCUUACUAGCUCUGUGGUCCUGGGCUAGUCAUUUAGUUGUUUGCCUCAGUUUCCUCAUCUGUAAAAUUAGUUGGAGAAGGAAAUUGUAAACUACUCCAAUUGCCAAGAACACCCUAAAUUGGAAUCAGAAAGGGUCAGAUGUGAUUAAAACAACUUGAACAACAAUAAACUCUCUAAGUUGGUUUAGGCUAGUAAUGGU